UUUCUGUCGCCACCACCGUUCUUCGCCGUCCACCGCCCAAAUUAAAACUCUCACGUACUGCAAUGCAUGGAAAGGAACGCAUCACAAAACAAACCAUACAUGUUCAUUUUUCUAAGUAAUUUUCACUCUCAACUCUUGCUCCUGCUCGAGAAGACAAAUUGCAAAAUCAAAAGUCCUUGAUUUCUCAAUCACAAGCGGCUUGCUUUUGAUUAGAGGUGGGUAGUUUAGAGGAGAAAAAGGGAGGCUAAGUUGGCUAGGCAACGAUCAACAUGGGACUCGUGGGUCGACUCUUGUCUGUUCUCUGGAAGUUGAUUAGGAGCAGCCAAGAUGGAGGAUUCAUCCUAUAAAUGGAACCUCCACUCUCCUUCCAAGCGCGUAGUCAUCACUCUCCUAUCUUUUUACUCACAAUAGCUUACUAUUUUUGUAAGUGGGCCUUAGUUAAUUUAACGUUGUCAGCUUUGGUUUUUGGUGAAUGUUCGUCGUCUUCACUGUUUUUUGUCCUCCACUGUUAUCAGUGCAGACUUUUUC
rnacentral:lncRNA from 1 species